rnacentral:miRNA from 1 species
UAUUGGAUUGGCCAAAAAGUUCAUUGUGGUUUUUCUAAAAGAUGUUAUAGAAAAACCUAAAUGAACUUUUUGGCUAACCCAGU